UACGUAGGGUGCAAGCGUUUGUCCGGAAUUAUUGGGCGUAAAGAGCUCGUAGGCGGUCUGUCGCGUCGGAUGUGAAAAUCCAGGGCUCAACCCUGGACCUGCAUUCGAUACGGGCAGACUAGAGUUCGGUAGGGGAGACUGGAAUUCCUGGUGUAGCGGUGAAAUGCGCAGAUAUCAGGAGGAACACCGGUGGCGAAGGCGGGUCUCUGGGCCGAAACUGACGCUGGAGGAGCGAAAGCAUGGGGAGCGAACAGG
rnacentral:rRNA from 1 species